GUAAAAAUACUCUAAUGAUGAGUAUAUGUCACUUGAUACCUGUGUCCAAAUCCAUAGAAUCUGUAACAACAUCAGAAGUGAACUCUGGUGGAAACUAUGGACUUUGGAUGAUCAUGUGUCAAUAUGGGUUCAUCAAUUGUAACAAAUGUAUCACUCUGGUGUGGGAUAUUGAUCAAAGAAAAGGCUAUGCAUGUUGGGCCACUCCAGUGUUCUUCUUGCCUGGAGAAUCCCAGGGACCGGGAAGCCUGGUGGGCUGCCGUCUAUGGGGUUGCACAGAGUCGGACACGACUGAAGUGACUUAGCAGGAGCAGUAGCAUGCAUGUUGGGGGCAGGGAGGAUGGGAAAUCUCUGCUUCUUCAUCUCAAUUUUGCUGUGAACCCAAAACUGGCAUCAAAAAAUAAACUCUUAAAAGAUUUCCUUCUUCAAACGUCCAUGUACCUUAUAGCCUGAUAAGUUUGGCAAAACCAGAGGAUUCGAUUUAGAAAAUAAAAAGCAAUUGCCAUGUGCAGUAGUAAUAUUUGCUGUUUGAUACACAGCUUCAGCACAUACACUUUUAAAAUACAUUUUUAUUGAGGAGUGUUGCUAUUUGAUACUUUAGCAGUAAAAAGUGAUAGACAUGACCUCUGCUCUCAAAGUGGUGACUGUUUAGCAGGGAAGAAAGACAAUUUCAGAAGUCACAUUCAGUUCAGUUCAGUUCAGUCGCUCAGUCAUGUUCAACUCUUUGCGACCCCAUGAAUCGCAUUAAGAGUUGGUAAAUAUUGCAAUAGGGAGAAAGUGUGCCAGUGGGUCACAUCCCGCACAUCCCGGCAAACAGGACAGCGAAUAACCGGGAGGACAUGAUGAGGGCUAAACCGAGAUCUGAAAGGUGUAUUGUUUCCUAUACCUUGAUUUUAUACUUGGAAGGACGAGUGUCUUCUCUCUUGAAAGCCAGCAGUGUUCUAAGGAGCCUGAAUGCCACCAGACUGCCCUACUGUAAGGAAAUCUAAGUCAGCCACCGGGCAAGAGAGAGAGAAGCCAGGCAUGUGAGUGAAACCUUCUUGGACCCUCUGGUUCAGCACAGCCAACGCUAAAUGCAGCCAAGUCUUGACGCCAUCUACUGACGUGGAGCAGAAGAAGCCCCCAGCUAAUCCCUACUCGCAUUCUUCAUUUAUAGAACUGUAAGCCAUAGCCACUGAUUGUUGUUUAACAGUGAUAUGUUAUGUAGAAAUAGAUAACUAAAACAACUCUAUAAACA